rnacentral:miRNA from 1 species
GUUAACCAAUCAUCCUGGUUUGCCUGGGACUGUGGGGCAUUCCAGGAUGCUUGACUUUCAGUGCUAAAACCA